AUUGAACGCUGGCGGCAUGCCUAACACAUGCAAGUCGAACGGUAACAGGCCCUUCGGGUGCUGACGAGUGGCGGAUGGGUGAGUAAUACUUAGGAAUCUACCCUGUAGUGGGGGACAACCCGGGGAAACUCGGGCUAAUACCGCAUACGCUCUACGGAGGAAAGCGGGGGACCGGCAAGGCCUCGCGCUAUUGGAUGAGCCUAAGCCCGAUUAGCUAGUUGGUGGGGUAAUAGCCUACCAAGGCAAUGAUCGGUAGCUGGUCUGAGAGGACGACCAGCCACACUGGGAC
rnacentral:rRNA from 1 species